AUUGAACGCUGGCGGCAGGCCUAACACAUGCAAGUCGAACGAGUGGCGGACGGGUGAGUAAUGUCUGGGAACCUGCCCGAUGGCGGGGGAUAACUACUGGAAACGGUAGCUAAUACCGCAUACCAUCGGAUCUGCCCAGGUGGGAUUAGCUGGUUGGUGGGGUAACGGCUCACCAAGGCGACGAUCCCUAGCUGGUCUGAGAGGAUGACCCGCAACACUGGAACUGGGACACGGUCCAGACUCCUACGGGAGGCAGCAGUGGGGAAUAUGGGACAAUGGGCGCAAGCCUGAUGCAGCCAUGCCGCGUGUAUGAAGAAGGCCUUCGGGUUGUAAAGGACUUUUGGCGGGGAGGCGGUACUCGCAGAAGAAGCACCGGCUAACUCCGUGCCAGCAGCCGCGGUAAUAC
rnacentral:rRNA from 1 species